UAAGGAAUAUUGGUCAAUGGACGCAAGUCUGAACCAGCCAUGCCGCGUGAAGGAUGAAGGCCCUCUGGGUUGUAAACUUCUUUUAUCUGGGACGAAAAAAGGGCUUUCCAGCUCGACUGACGGUACCAGAGGAAUAAGCACCGGCUAACUCCGUGCCAGCAGCCGCGGUAAUACGGAGGGUGCAAGCGUUAUCCGGAUUCACUGGGUUUAAAGGGAGCGUAGGUGGGCAGGUAAGUCAGUGGUGAAAUCUCCGGGCUUAACCCGGAAACUGCCAUUGAUACUAUCUGUCUUGAAUAUUCUGGAGGUAAGCGGAAUAUGUCAUGUAGCGGUGAAAUGCUUAGAUAUGACAUAGAACACCCAUUGCGAAGGCAGCUUACUACGGAAUCAUUGACACUGAGGC
rnacentral:rRNA from 1 species